UGGGGAAUUUUGGACAAUGGGGGCAACCCUGAUCCAGCCAUCCCGCGUGUGCGAUGAAGGCCUUCGGGUUGUAAAGAACUUUUGGCAGGGAAGAAACAGCCUGGGCUAAUAUCCCGGGCGACUGACGGUACCUGCAGAAUAAGCACCGGCUAACUACGUCCCAGCAGCCGCGGUAAUACGUAGGGUGCAAGCGUUAAUCGGAAUUACUGGGCGUAAAGCGUGCGCAGGCGGUUCGGAAAGAAAGGUGUGAAAUCCCAGGGCUUAACCUUGGAACUGCACUUUUAACUACCGGGCUAGAGUACGUCAGAGGGGGGUAGAAUUCCACGUGUAGCAGUGAAAUGCGUAGAGAUGUGGAGGAAUACCGAUGGCGAAGGCAGCCCCCUGGGAUGAUACUGACGCUCAUGCACGAAAGCGUGGGGAGCAAACA
rnacentral:rRNA from 1 species